CUAAUGACAGGCAGGUGAAUCCUGUUUAAAAGCAGUCAUUCUUUCUGAAACAAUAAUGCCUCAGAAUUUGUUUAACAAACAUAAAGUGAAGGAAAUUCAGGAGGUAUUCCAACAAAAGUAUCAUAGUGUGUUUAAUGUAUAUAUUUUAAAGAGCACCACAUUGAUUUUCAGGACAGUUUUGAGUCUCCCUGUUGAGUUUAUUAUGAAAGACCCUCCUAAUCUUUGUUGUUCCUGUUACAGCUAAAGGCUACUACAAAACUGCAUUGACUAGUGCCCAAGUACUCAACAGGGACACACCUUGGGUUACGAACAAGAUGCUGAACCAAGUUUUUUCUCGGCAUGUAAUCGAGCAUUCCAUUUGUACACGGAAUUCAGAAGUUCCCAGUCGGAGUUCUGAUUCUGAAACUUCAAGGCACAGCAACAAAACCAAUUUCAGAAUCCAAAAUGUCUGCUCAUUGCAUCAAAAGUCAAGGCAGGGCAAAGAAGAGUUUGAACUGAAUGUUCCCAACCAUGCAGAGCAACAGUGGUUGCAGAUGUCCGCGGUUCCGUUCAUUCCGGGAAGCUUGAACCAGGCCAAGAGCUGAAUCCCGUGGUCUUAGUGACUGUGUACUGGUCUGGGCAUGUCCGCUGCCAACCUCUUCAAGGACGAUCAAG